rnacentral:rRNA from 1 species
UACGUAGGGUGCAAGCGUUAAUCGGAAUUACUGGGCGUAAAGCGCACGUAGGCGGCUUUGUAAGUUAGAGGUGAAAGCCUGGAGCUCAACUCCAGAAUUGCCUUUAAGACUGCAUCGCUUGAAUCCAGGAGAGGUGAGUGGAAUUCCGAGUGUAGAGGUGAAAUUCGUAGAUAUUCGGAAGAACACCAGUGGCGAAGGCGACUGACUGGACAUGUAUUGACGCUGAGGUGGCGAAAGCGUGGGGAGCAAACGGG